rfam:Schistosoma rodhaini strain Burundi genome assembly, scaffold: SROB_scaffold0007164
AGCUUUUUGAAUCCGUGCUGAGAUUUCGUCGUCAGACAGCAACCCAUUAGGGCUGAUGAGACUUCCAAAAUAAGUGAAGUU